AGCUAGUUGGUGAGGUAAUGGCUCACCAAGGCGACGAUCCGUAACUGGCUGANAGGAUGAUCAGUCACACUGGAACUGAGACACGGUCCAGACUCCUACGGGAGGCAGCAGUGGGGAAUAUUGGACAAUGGGCGAAAGCCUGAUCCAGCCAUGCCGCGUGUGUGAAGAAGGUCUUCGGAUUGUAAAGCACUUUAAGUUAGGAGGAAGGGUAGUAACCUAAUACGUUGCUACUUUGACGUUACCGACAGAAUAAGCACCGGCUAACUUCGUG
rnacentral:rRNA from 1 species